AGUGAACGCUGGCGGUAGGCCUAACACAUGCAAGUCGAACGGCAGCACAGUAAGAGCUUGCUCUUACGGGUGGCGAGUGGCGGACGGGUGAGGAAUACAUCGGAAUCUACUUUUUCGUGGGGGAUAACGUAGGGAAACUUACGCUAAUACCGCAUACGACCUACGGGUGAAAGCAGGGGAUCUUCGGACCUUGCGCGAUUGAAUGAGCCGAUGUCGGAUUAGCUAGUUGGCGGGGUAAAGGCCCACCAAGGCGACGAUCCGUAGCUGGUCUGAGAGGAUGAACAGCCACACUGGAACUGAGACACGGUCCAGACUCCUACGGGAGGCAGCAGUGGGGAAUAUUGGACAAUGGGCGCAAGCCUGAUCCAGCCAUACCGCGUGGGUGAAGAAGGCCUUUGGGUUGUAAAGCCCUUUUGUUGGGAAAGAAAAGCAGCAGGUUAAUACCCCGCUGUUCUGACGGUACCCAAAGAAUAAGCACCGGCUAACUUCGUG
rnacentral:rRNA from 1 species